AGUGGCGAACGGGUGAGUAAAGUAUCGGAACGUGCCCAGUCGUGGGGGAUAACGUAGCGAAAGUUACGCUAAUACCGCAUACGAUCUAUGGAUGAAAGCGGGGGAUCGCAAGACCUCGCGCGAUUGGAGCGGCCGAUAUCAGAUUAGGUAGUUGGUGGGGUAAAGGCUCACCAAGCCGACGAUCUGUAGCUGGUCUGAGAGGACGACCAGCCACACUGGGACUGAGACACGGCCCAGACUCCUACGGGAGGCAGCAGUGGGGAAUUUUGGACAAUGGGCGCAAGCCUGAUCCAGCCAUGCCGCGUGCAGGAUGAAGGCCUUCGGGUUGUAAACUGCUUUUGUACGGAACGAAAAGGUUUGGCCUAAUAAGCUGAGCUCAUGACGGUACCGUAAGAAUAAGCACCGGCUAACUACGUGCCAGCAGCCGCGGUAAUACGUAGGGUGCGAGCGUUAAUCGGAAUUACUGGGCGUAAAGCGUGCGCAGGCGGUUAUGUAAGACAGAUGUGAAAUCCCCGGGCUCAACCUGGGAACUGCAUUAGUGACUGCAUAGCUGGAGUACGGCAGAGGGGGGAUGGAAUUCCGCGUGUAGCAGUGAAAUGCGUAGAUAUGCGGAGGAACACCGAUGGCGAAUGCAAUCCCCUAGGCCUGUACUGACGCUCAUGCACGAAAGCGUGG
rnacentral:rRNA from 1 species